rnacentral:rRNA from 1 species
UACGUAGGGUGCGAGCGUUAAUCGGAAUUACUGGGCGUAAAGCGUGCGCAGGCGGUUUUGUAAGCCAGGUGUGAAAUCCCCGGGCUCAACCUGGGAAUGGCAUUUGGGACUGCAAGGCUGGAGUGCGGCAGAGGAGACUGGAAUUCCUGGUGUAGCAGUGAAAUGCGUAGAUAUCAGGAGGAACACCAAUGGCGAAGGCAGAUCUCUGGGCCGUAACUGACGCUGAGGAGCGAAAGCAUGGGGAGCAAACAGG